rnacentral:rRNA from 1 species
UACGUAGGUGACCAGCGUUGUCCGGAUUUACUGGGCGUAAAGAGCGCGCAGGCGGUCGUUCAAGUCGAGUGUGAAAGCCCCCGGCUCAACUGGGGAGGGUCACUCGAUACUGAUCGACUUGAAGGCAGGAGAGGGAAGCGGAAUUCCCGGUGUAGUGGUGAAAUGUGUAGAGAUCGGGAGGAACACCGGUGGCGAAGGCGGGUCUCUGGGCAAUUCCUGACGCUGAGGCGCGAAAGCGUGGGGAGCAAACGGG